GCUUGUUGUUGACCAGAACCAUCCAUUAUGACACACCAGCCACAGAACUCUUCCCAGUAGGUUUUGCUUAUGCCAACAGUGCCCUGGGACUGAGCCAGGAAUUCAAGCACCCAUUGCUUGUUCUUCAUGCUUCUCCAUUGGCCUGUGUCCUCUUCAGAUGCUCCAUUUACUUAAGGGAAGACUGCAAAAGUAAAGACUGCUUCCCAGAUCUUCUCCUUGUGAGAGGAGUCAUGAGAACAUCUAACUUACGCUCCUAUGAAGGAACAUUUCUCUGACUGAAAGCAGUCAGAGGAGAUCUACUCAACACAUGCAGUAGAUAAGGGUCACAAUAUGACCCAUACUGAAGUGGGUGCCUAUACCUUAUGGAAUUAAUUCCAUUCACAAAAUGCCUCUUUCUGCCACUGAUUCUAAAGGGAGCCUGUGAUGACCUGCAUAGUGGCAGUUGCCAACCCUGUAGGUGCUGUUUUACAGUUGGGAAGAACAUGGGGGAAAGUGGAUGCAUGGCGGUAAAGAAAGCAACCUAGUAAGGUGACGGAAGUCCUAGAACAGAUAGAAGUCAAGACUGUUACUUCAUCAGCUUUGUCAGGAGGAAAGGUAAAAAUCUCCUAUAAAUCAGCUGUGCAAAUGUGCAAUUUGUAUGUGUUGAUUUCAUUUUCUGUUGA